GGAUUAGAUACCCUGGUAGUCCUAGCCGUAAACGGUGUGCACUUGGUGUGGGAGGAUUUGACCCCUUCCGUGCCGUAGCUAACGCGUUAAGUGCACCGCCUGGGGAGUACGGCCGCAAGGCUAAAACUCAAAGAAAUUGACGGGGGCCCGCACAAGCGGAGGAGCAUGUGGCUUAAUUCGAUGCAACGCGAAGAACCUUACCUGGGAUUGACAUAGUACUGCACGCCCCGUGAAAGCGGGGUUCCUUCGAGGGUGUACUACAGGUGCUGCAUGGCUGUCGUCAGCUCGUGCUG
rnacentral:rRNA from 1 species